AAACGGGAUCACGGACAAUGAUGCGGCUGAUGGCGCACGGCAGGACGCAGCUCCUCACCGACCGGAUCCUCGCAGCGCGGGGGAGGGCUGCGUGCGCCAGGCGGACCACGGAGAAGACCGAAGAAGAGAAAGUGUGACGGUGGAUUCCCACGCAGCGCAGGCCUAAUCCCGCGGCGUGGGAGGGAAGCGACCCUGCCAACCGCGCUGAAGUCUCCCCGAAGUCGCCUCACGUUAGGGGAUGUUCCUGUCCGCGUCGGUCGCUGGCAAACAGCAGCGCCUGGAGCCCGACCCCUCGGCCCCGGGGGACAGACGAGGGUCUGUGGCGGUGGCGGCAGCGGGCGAGGGGGUCCUGAGGGCCGCAGGGGUCCACAAGGACCCUCCUAGGACGGCGGGGCUGCAGCGGGGUCCACACUGGGCCUGCUCCGACGGCGGGAGAGGGGCAAGGGCGUUGGACUCGCGUGGAAUCCGCAGAGACUAGGACAGGGAAUGACUAAAACGGAGCGCUAGGCCCCCUGCGUGGCCGCCAUCGCGGGUGAGCGCGCUCCAGCGAUUGGGCGGACGUGUAACGGGUCCCAGUGGACACAGCGUGUGUCCAGCAGCCGCCGGAACUCCGCAGAGCCACAGCGGAUCGCUAGUGAAGACGGCUGGCCAGGGCCAGGGCACCCCGGGUCUCCUCUGGCUCCGAGCCCGAAGAUUCUCUGAGGGGAACGGGUCGGGGGCGAUUCCCUAGGAAGCAACCCCGCAGAGCAGGACCUUGAGCAGCCCGCGGCUCGCCACCCACUUUCUGAGGAGCAAGGCCUUGAGUGAGGGUUCGUUCUGUCCUCCCGGAAGGUUCACAGUGUCGCCCUGAUGCGCAACUGGGGGAGCUGAGUCUGCGCUUAGCCAGGACCCCGGAGACCCCCGAGCAGUCGCUGCUCUGCGCCGCUUCCUCCAUUUCACCACACUCGCCACGAACCGCAGCGGUCCGUCUUUGCGCUAAAGUGAUCAGUGUGUAGAGCUGGCAGGUGACUUUCCACGGGCCUCUCCAUCUUCCUAUGCAGUCUGAGGGCGAGGCAUCCACGACUGGAGAAAAACAGGAGAAUGGAGAUCCCCCCACCCCAAACACACGCACACAGGAGCUGAAGUCAGGCUGGUUACCCCCUGCAGCAAGGAGAAUGGUAAGGUGCUCGUGUGAGCUGCGUUUCAGCCUGAGUGUGCCUGAAAUGCUGUGUAUCUGCUACCAGGAGUCUGGUAAACCAGAUAUUACAUGGAAAGACAACAUUGCUGAGAGCAAAAGAAUGAAGAUGCAGGCAAUAAAAUAAAUUUUCCCAUGUGACACUGAUUCCUGGAGUCACUUGUUUAUUUACUACUUAUUGGGUAUAAAGUUUAUCAGGUUUUAGUAUUGCUGUAUUGUUAACUCUGUAUGAGGUUACUGGAAUACAAAAUUACACAGUAUUUUUUGCUUGUCUAAAAUAGCUGAAAAACUAGUGAUUCACCUGUGAGAAGCCAGUAAGGAAUAACAAUACAAGGAAAACGUGAAUGGUGAACAUGUCAGGCACAUGGCAGAGGCCAGAACAAUGACAUUGUCACCUGAAAAGUUCACAGCAAUGAGGAAAUUAAACAGUGAGCACACGAUCAAAAGCACGCACAUGAACGUCGCAUACAUGAACAGUAGCACACACAUGAACAUUUGUGCACACAUGAUUAGCAGCACACAAAUGAACAUUGCACACAUGAAUGGCAGCACACACAUGAACAUUUGUGCACAUAUGAACAGCAGCGCACAUGUGAACAACAUGUCUACAAACAAUUGUGCAUAUGCACAGCACACAUGAGCAAUAGUGCACAUAUGAACAGCAGCAUGCAUAUGGACACUGUACACUCAUGAGCAGCAAUACUCAUAGGAGCCAUAGUGCACACAUGAAAAUCACAUAUGUGGGGGCCAGCACUGUAGCAUAGCAGGUAAUGCUGCUGCUUGCAGUGUCGGCGUCCCAUAUAGCACCAGUUCGAGUCCCAGCUGCUCCACUUCCAAUCCAGCUCUCUGCUGUGGCCUAGGAAGGCGGUGCAUGAUGGCCCAAGACCUUGAGCCCCUGCACCCAUGUGGGAGACCCAGAAGAAGCUCCUGGCUUCAGAUUGGCACAGUCCCAGCCAUUGCAGCCAUUUGGGGAGUGAACCAGUAGAUGGAAUACUUCUCUCUCUCUGUCUCUUCCUCUCUGUAACUCUGCCUUUUAAAUAAAAUAAAUAAAUCUUUUUUAAAAAAAUCACACAUGUCACUGUUUCUCAGUGACUUGA